rnacentral:rRNA from 1 species
GCAAGUCGAGCGAUGAAACCCUCUCCGGUGUGAAUUAGCGGCGAACGGGUGAGGAACACGUGAAGAAUCUGCCUUCAACUCUGGGAUAACUCCGGGAAACCGGGGCUAAUACCGGAUAUGAGCCUUGAUUGCAUGAUCGGGGCUGGAAAGUUUUUCGGUUGAAGAUGACUUCGCGGCCUAUCAGCUUGUUGGUGAGGUAAUGGCUCACCAAGGCGACGACGGGUAGCCGGCCUGAGAGGGCGACCGGCCACACUGGGACUGAGACACGGCCCAGACUCCUACGGGAGGCAGCAGUGGGGAAUAUUGGGCAAUGGAGGAAACUCUGACCCAGCGACGCCGCGUGAGGGAUGAAGGCCUUCGGGUUGUAAACCUCUUUCAGUAGGGAAGAAGCGAAAGUGACGGUACCUACAGAAGAAGCACCGGCUAACUAUGUGCCAGCAGCCGCGGUAAUACAUAGGGUGCAAGCGUUGUCCGGAAUUAUUGGGCGUAAAGAGCUCGUAGGUGGUUCGAUACGUCGGAUGUGAAAAUCAGGGGCUCAACCCCUGACCUGCAUCCGAUACGGUCGAGCUAGAGUUUGGUAGGGGAGACUGGAAUUCCUGGUGUAGCGGCGGAAUGCGCAGAUAUCAGGAGGAACACCGAUGGCGAAGGCAGGUCUCUGGGCCAAUACUGACACUGAGGAGCGAAAGCGUGGGGAGCGAACAGGAUUAGAUACCCUGGUAGUCCACGCCGUAAACGGUGGGCGCUAGUUGUGCGAACCUUCCACGGUUUGUGCGACGCAGCUAACGCAUUAAGCGCCCCGCCUGGGGAGUACGAUCGCAAGAUUAAAACUCAAAGGAAUUGACGGGGCCCCGCACAAGCAGCGGAGCAUGCGGCUUAAUUCGACGCAACGCGAAGAACCUUACCAAGGCUUGACAUAUACAGGAAUAUGGCAGAGAUGUC